rnacentral:rRNA from 1 species
AAAUUGAAGAGUUUGAUCAUGGCUCAGAUUGAACGCUGGCGGCAGGCCUAACACAUGCAAGUCGAACGGUAACAGGAAACAGCUUGCUGUUUCGCUGACGAGUGGCGGACGGGUGAGUAAUGUCUGGGAAACUGCCUGAUGGAGGGGGAUAACUACUGGAAACGGUAGCUAAUACCGCAUAACGUCGCAAGACCAAAGAGGGGGACCCUCGGGCCUCUUGCCAUCGGAUGUGCCCAGAUGGGAUUAGCUUGUUGGUGGGGUAACGGCUCACCAAGGCGACGAUCCCUAGCUGGUCUGAGAGGAUGACCAGCCACACUGGAACUGAGACACGGUCCAGACUCCUACGGGAGGCAGCAGUGGGGAAUAUUGCACAAUGGGCGCAAGCCUGAUGCAGCCAUGCCGCGUGUAUGAAGAAGGCCUUCGGGUUGUAAAGUACUUUCAGCGGGGAGGAAGGGAGUAAAGUUAAUACCUUUGCUCAUUGACGUUACCCGCAGAAGAAGCACCGGCUAACUCCGUGCCAGCAGCCGCGGUAAUACGGAGGGUGCAAGCGUUAAUCGGAAUUACUGGGCGUAAAGCGCACGCAGGCGGUUUGUUAAGUCAGAUGUGAAAUCCCCGGGCUCAACCUGGGAACUGCAUCUGAUACUGGCAAGCUUGAGUCUCGUAGAGGGGGUAGAAUUCCAGGUGUAGCGGUGAAAUGCGUAGAGAUCUGGAGGAAUACCGGUGGCGAAGGCGGCCCCCUGGACGAAGACUGACGCUCAGGUGCGAAAGCGUGGGGAGCAAACAGGAUUAGAUACCCUGGUAGUCCACGCCGUAAACGAUGUCGACUUGGAGGUUGUGCCCUUGAGGCGUGGCUUCCGGAGCUAACGCGUUAAGUCGACCGCCUGGGGAGUACGGCCGCAAGGUUAAAACUCAAAUGAAUUGACGGGGGCCCGCACAAGCGGUGGAGCAUGUGGUUUAAUUCGAUGCAACGCGAAGAACCUUACCUGGUCUUGACAUCCACGGAAGUUUUCAGAGAUGAGAAUGUGCCUUCGGGAACCGUGAGACAGGUGCUGCAUGGCUGUCGUCAGCUCGUGUUGUGAAAUGUUGGGUUAAGUCCCGCAACGAGCGCAACCCUUAUCCUUUGUUGCCAGCGGUCCGGCCGGGAACUCAAAGGAGACUGCCAGUGAUAAACUGGAGGAAGGUGGGGAUGACGUCAAGUCAUCAUGGCCCUUACGACCAGGGCUACACACGUGCUACAAUGGCGCAUACAAAGAGAAGCGACCUCGCGAGAGCAAGCGGACCUCAUAAAGUGCGUCGUAGUCCGGAUUGGAGUCUGCAACUCGACUCCAUGAAGUCGGAAUCGCUAGUAAUCGUGGAUCAGAAUGCCACGGUGAAUACGUUCCCGGGCCUUGUACACACCGCCCGUCACACCAUGGGAGUGGGUUGCAAAAGAAGUAGGUAGCUUAACCUUCGGGAGGGCGCUUACCACUUUGUGAUUCAUGACUGGGGUGAAGUCGUAACAAGGUAACCGUAGGGGAACCUGCGGUUGGAUCACCUCCUUA